rnacentral:rRNA from 1 species
CCUACGGGAGGCAGCAGUGGGGAAUAUUGCGCAAUGGGCGAAAGCCUGACCCAGCAACGCCGCGUGAAGGAAGAAGGCUUUCGGGUUGUAAACUUCUUUUGUCAGGGACGAAGCAAGUGACGGUACCUGACGAAUAAGCCACGGCUAACUACGUGCCAGCAGCCGCGGUAAUACGUAGGUGGCAAGCGUUAUCCGGAUUUAGUGGGUGUAAAGGGCGUGUAGGCGGGAAUGCAAGUCAGAUGUGAAAACUAUGGGCUCAACCCAUAGCCUGCAUUUGAAACUGUGUUUCUUGAGUGCUGGAGAGGGAAUCGGAAUUCCGUGUGUAGCGGUGAAAUGCGUAGAUAUACGGAGGAACACCGGUGGCGAAGGCGGAUUGCUGGACAGUAACUGACGCUGAGGCGCGAAAGCGUGGGGAGCAAACAGGAUUAGAUACCCGAGUAGUC